UGGGGAAUCAUGGUCAAUGGGCGAAAGCCUGAACCUGCGACGCCGCGUGAGUGAUGAAGGUCGUAAGAUCGUAAAACUCUUUUCAGGGAUCUUAAAGCCUGUCUGUCAACAACAGGCAGGUCUGACUCUCUCUGGAAGAAGCCCCAGCCAACUACGUGCCAGCAGCUGCGGUAAUACGUAGGGGGCGAGCGUUAUUCGGAAUUACUGGGUGUAAAGGGUCUGUAGCCGGCCGGAUAAGUCUCUUGAGAAAUCUGGCAGCUUAACUGUCAGGCUUUCAGGAGAUACUGUCUGGCUCGAGGCCGGGAGAGGUGAGAGGUACUUCAGGGGUAGGGGUGAAAUCUUGUAAUCCUUGAAGGACCACCAGUGGCGAAGGCGGCUUCCUGGCACAAUACUGACGCUCAUGUGCGAAAGCUAGGGUAGCGAACG
rnacentral:rRNA from 1 species